rnacentral:rRNA from 1 species
GAGUUUGAUCUUGGCUCAGAAUCAACGCUGGCGGCGUGCCUAACACAUGCAAGUCGAACGCGAAAGGGGCUUCGGCCCUGAGUAGAGUGGCGAACGGGUGAGUAACACGUGGGUGAUCUACCUUCGAGUGGGGGAUAACGUCCCGAAAGGGACGCUAAUACCGCAUGACGUUCCGGGUUUGAAGACCUGGAAACCAAGGCCGGGGACCGCAAGGCCUGGCGCUUGAAGAGGAGCCCGCGUCCGAUUAGCUAGUUGGCGGGGUAAUGGCCCACCAAGGCGACGAUCGGUAGCCGGCCUGAGAGGGCGGACGGCCACACUGGAACUGAGACACGGUCCAGACUCCUACGGGAGGCAGCAGUGGGGAAUUGUUCACAAUGGGCGCAAGCCUGAUGACGCAACGCCGCGUGGGGGAUGAAGGUCUUCGGAUUGUAAACCCCUGUCGAAUGGGACGAAUGGCCUCUGGGCUAAUCACCAGAGGAGUGACGGUACCGUUAAAGGAAGCCACGGCUAACUCUGUGCCAGCAGCCGCAGUAAC